UUGAUAUCUUUUUCUAUCCUGGAUGCCUCUCUAGUUACCACGGCGGAAAUACUUAUAUAUUUUUUUACCACUCUUCUUUACCAUGAUGAGUAAUUACACCAUGCUUUCACCAGUUAUGUCAACAUGACCCUAGAUGGAUAGAAGUUGAAAUAAAACCGUGAAAACCACCGGUAAGAGUGUUACUUAGCAACACCACGCAAUCGCAGGAUCAAUCUUACAAAACUUUUAAGAAUUAGUUGAACUCCAUUUACGAAGUGAAUCUAUAUUCACUCUGCAGAGCUGAGUUCGGUAAUUUUAUCGGAAGUCUACUUAGCUUUGAAGGAAAUGAGAUGGCAAAUAUUUCGCAAUGUAAUUCUUAUUUCAAUAAUUCUUAUGUCUAAAGUUGCAAAUGGAAGACCUUCGACAAAAAGGAUACGAUCCGAGAAAGUCAAGCCCGGCCUAAUCACUGUUCCAAUCAUGAAGGAUGCUCGCGGAGUGCCACACGAAACCACUGCGCAGGAAAAUGCGAAGUCUUAUUUGACCGGCCCUGCUUACAGGAUCCUGAACAAGGACAAUACUUUUGACUCUAAGGAUCCUUUCAUUUUCUUUCCACUGAUUGCCGUUGAACACCCAAGAGGAUAAGUUGCAAAAAUUAAAACCGUCAGAACAUCUGCUA